AGCAGCCGCGGUAAUUCCAGCUCCAAUAGCGUAUAUUAAAGUUGCUGCAGUUAAAAAGCUCGUAGUUGAAUUUCGGGACCAAUAUGUCGGUCGUGCCUCGGUACGUACUGGCAUCGUUGGUUUCUCCCUUCUGACGAACCAUGAUGUCAUUUAUUUGGUGUCGUGGGGAAUCAGGACUGUUACUUUGAAAAAAUUAGAGUGUUUAAAGCAGGCUCACGCUUGAAUACAUUAGCAUGGAAUAAUGAAAUAGGACGUUUGAUUCUAUUUUGUUGGUUUCUAGGAUCGACGUAAUGAUUAAUAGGGAUAGUUGGGGGCAUUAGUAUUCAAUUGUCAGAGGUGAAAUUCUUGGAUUUAUUGAAGACUAACUACUGCGAAAGCAUUUGCCAAGGAUGUUUUCAUUAAUCAAGAACGAAAGUUAGGGGAUCGAAGACGAUCAGAUACCGUCGUAGUCUUAACCAUGAACUAUGCCGACUAGGGAUCGGAUGAUGUAAUUUUUAAUGA
rnacentral:rRNA from 1 species